GGACUUGUAGCUCAAUGGACAGAGCAGUCAGCGGUUAAUGAUAACUGUUGGACAUCUUGUGGGUUCAAAUCCCACCAAGUCCG
rnacentral:tRNA from 2 species